AGCCAACAGUAAUAUAGCACUUAAUAUGUGCUAAGCUCUUUACAAAGAUCAAUGUAUUUAAUCCUUGUGACAGUGCUGAUGUUAUCGCCCUUUUAUACAGAUGAGGGACUGAGGCACAGAGAGUUGAAGCAAUUGGUCAAGGACCACAGAGCUCACGAUCGGCAGAGUUAAGAAUCAAGCCCAGGCUGACAGUCUGGCUCCCAAAUGUGUACAGUCACCCAAGGGGGGAACCACUGUCCCUCAGCACACACAGGCUCAUCAUCAGAGCUCACUGUCCGCUCUAAGGAAGGGUCAUCUGCUUUGUGGGCUACUUGUUCCUUGGCUCCCUGUCCCUCCCAGUUUUCCCCAUCUGCCAUUUUGGUUGCUAGCCCCUCUCCUGCGUGAUAGAACCCACGUUUUCUUAAGUGGGGAUUUUUGUGGAGUGAGUCUCCAGCUACUUCUAAGCAGGAGACCACAGCCUGGGCAUCCAUUUUGGUUUCACCUGAUUGUGGGAUGGUAGCCAGCCUCUCCCUCAUUCUAGCCCUGUGACCUUGGUCCAGUCAGUUCACAUCUCUGGACCUCAGCUGCUUCAUCUGUAGAAGAGAGGGGUUGGGCAGGUACUAUCAAGGUCCUUUCAGACCUAAAAUUAUAUUACCCUAAGGAUAAUUACAACAAAUUCUAGAAAAUGUUUUAUGGCUAUAAAGAGAAAACACUUUUGUAGCAAUCUAAAUUAGAAUUUGCCUCUCGGGAAUCAAUUAGGCAAGUCCCCAAAGCUCCUCUCCAACUGUAAAGGAAAUGACUAAAAUAAGAAAGGAGAAGAAAUCCUGCUUUCCCCCAUUCCCUUGGCAGAAAGCUGACUCUUGACUUACACCUUUGGAUAUGGUCAGUAGCUCCGAUUGCCACAUCCACCCUCAUAACAUGGCAGCCCAGGUGCCCACAGCACAAUGGCCAGUCACCUUUAGAGAAGAAACUUUGCAGAAAAAUAAUUGCAGUCUAUCACCUUUGAAGCUAUUCCAAUUUCGCAGGGGUUUCUGUUUUCCUCCCAUUAAACCCAGCUGGUCAUUUUAGUUGAUCAAGUGAAUAGGCAUCAUUAUCUUCAAUUCUGAUUUAUAUGAGGCAUCCACUGAAAUUGACCCCUGCGGACAAUUAUAGAUUCACAUAGGAAAUUAAGACUGUGAGUCCCUCCAACCUAUUAGAGGCUGAUGAGCAUGGCCUGAUCUGAAGGGCCAGAGUGGAGACAGAAGAAAGAAUUUGAAUAGAUCAUACUUUCAAAGGAAAUGAAGCAUUAUGGCCAUUUUGGCACUGAGAAAAAGAUUUUGUUUUUAAGCAAUGUCUACAUCCAGCAUGGGACUCGAAGUCACAACCCGGAGACCAAGAAUCACAUGCUGUACUGACUGACCCAGCCAGGUUUUGGUUGCGAAGGGAAGGAAUACCUCUAAGUCCGUCCGUGCCAUCAUUUACUCAGUUAGAGACCCAUUGCAUGUACCUGAUUCUUGCUUUGAAUCUGACUGCACCCCUGUACAUGAUAGGUCCCCUGGAAUCCUGUGCUCAUGGGCAUCCUGUUAUCUGCUUGUGGAGUGAACAAGGAACUCACCGAGGCACAUACCAUGCACAUCGCCUCCCCCCGCGCAGGCUCCAUUGUCACACUGCACUUCACUGACAACACACGAACUCUGUGAUGAAAUUAUGAAGAAUUUCAAGUUAGUGACAGCAGAGCUUUACGCCAAGUGUGGGGCCCUUCUGUGUUAGUUCUCAGGUUGCAUGUUCAUGAAGUUGGCCCUGGCUAUGAGAUAGUACAUAAUUUUUUAAAACAACUUUCAGAUGAGAUAGUGAUGGUGGGAGAUGUAAUAUUCAUUCUUAAGGGGCACCCAGAUGGCUCCGUCGGUUAAGCCUCCGACUUUGAUUUCAUCAGUUAAGCCUCCGGGUCAGGUCAUGAUCUCAGGGUCAUGAGAUCGGGUUCCACACUCUGCAGAACGUCUGCUUGAGAUUCUCUCUUCUUCUGUCCCUCCCUCUGCCUCGUGCACUCUCUCUCUAUAUCAGAUAAAUAAAUAAAUCUUAAAAAAAAAAGAAAGUAAUAUACUUCAGUUCAAACAAACAGAAACGGGAAGAGCCUUGCUUGGAACUUUAGUUUAUCUGUCUAAUCCUAGAGCUAAUAUUUCUAACUAUUCAGUACUGUAAUAACUCAGCUAUGCAACUUCCUAUAACCAUUUGUGGAUUUUAGAAAUCUAAAAAUAAUGAUCACUGAGUGGGCUACGAAGAGUCCAAAAAUGGUGUACCCUCUCUACUCAUUUUCCCCUGUAGCACUUAGCUAAAGUACCUUAUCUCCUAUUGUACUUUGUAUUUUCUAAAUACAUUCUUUCCCAAUACAUUACCUUAUUUUAUCAUCACCACAAUCCCAAGAAUGACUUGGAGUUGUUACUCGCUCUGUAGGUGAGGAAAUCGGGGCUCAAAUAUAUGAAAUGACUUUUCUAGGCUAUUCUUUUUAUCAAGGUCAGAUCCAAGGCUAGAGUUCUUCCCUUUCCAAGUCACCUCUUGAGUUAAAACUCAAACAUAACAGGACUGUGGACAGAUGGUAAAGGAAGGGAAAAUAUUGGCUCAAAGAGCAAAAUGAGGUUUUCAGAUUUCCUUUACAUAACGGGGAGCAUGAUUUUGUGGGCAAAACCUGUGAACUGAGGUCAGAAAGCCUGGACUUUAUGGCUGCCACUUAUUAAUUGAAGAAACUUGGAAAUUUCCACUUCUAAGCCCCCAGAUUCUCAUUUGCAAAAAAAAAAAAAAAAAAAAAAAAAAAAAAGGUAUUUAUAGGACCUCAGAAGACUAUUGCAUCAAAUAAGAAAACUUCUGGAGUUCAGUAACAGUUAGUUUUUCUAUCCCUACCACUCAUAAUCUACUGCUCUACAGAUACAGAGAACUCAGUCCAAUAUCCUUUUAUUUCAAGGAGGCUAUUCUGGCCAGAGAUGAGUUCAGAAUGAAAAACACCUAGAGUCUUAUGUUCCAUUCUUCAGCUUCCCAUGAUCUCUGACUCUGAAUCUAUCAUGUCAUCAUUAUUUAGGUAUGAGGAAGACACACCACCAUGUCCUGUGGUUAAUACAUUAAAGAUAUGCUUAAUGUGCAAGACUAUGGACAUCCCAGUCUUUGUAUGAUACCAGUUCAGAAAUUUCAUUGCAAGUCAUUUAAAAAUAUGAACUAAUGUGUACUCACUAAUGUCUAGCUUGACCACACUUACUAGAUUGGAGAUCAUUAUUAAUUUCUUUAAUAUUGUAAUAACAUUGAUUUAGAUGAACCCUUAUAACAUAGAAAGUAUAUAGUAUUUAGCAGUAAUUAACAUCUUUUAAUGAGGAAGAAUUGCCAAGUAGUUUUCUCUCUUGGCUUUGUUGUGGCAAUGGACAGUUGGAUGAAAAUUCCACUUAAUCACAAAGGGAAUAUCUCAUGUCUUGUGUUAAAUUUGCCUUCAAUGGACUAAAAAUCAUGCUUUGGUACUAUAUUUUAUCAUAAAAAGGCACAUUUGAAUCACCAGUGUCAUAGAAUGUGAAAUGUACAAAUGCCAUAAACUUUAUAGAUAAAGCCAUUCACCUAGAGAUCACAUAGAUGAUACAGAAUGAGUGCAGAAAUUUGAUCUGUCUGCUUACUGACUUGUGUGGGUCUUUAAUACUGGUUUUGCUAUUAUUAUUCCUCUAGAAUCACAAUAUAAAAUUUCAUAUUUUUAUGUACAUUUAUGGUAAAUGUUACCCUUUGCUAACCAGAGAGGCAUUUAGGCAAUUGCCGGGUAUGAAAAUUGCUGACAUUUUCUGAAUUUCAAAUGACAAAUGAGAUGCUCCUGUCAGUUUACUGUAUAACUCCAGAGCAUAUGGUGCUUCUGCUGGUGGGUGUGAUUUCAAAGUUUGCAAAUCACACCAUGAGAAAGUCCCUCUGGUGGGCUCCUGGAACACUUAGCAACUGUGAAUGUGAAGUGACAGUACAGAGGGAAAUGACUAAAAAAAAUAGCUUUUUUUUUUUUUUUUUUUUUUGACAGUGAGAAAGCAGUACAAAGUGAAUGCUAAGUUAAUUCAGGGAGGUGGUGGGAUAAAGACACCCAUCUAGCAAAGGGAAAAAAAAAAAGCAGUUUUCCCUUUUAUAGAACAAACCAGGAAGUUAUCUAAAUUCUUAAAACAGAGUGUAUAAUGUCAGAUUUCAGAGCAAGAAUAAGAAUUAAGAAACUGACUGGAAUUAGAAUAGUCAUCAACUCGACCACACAGAAGCUUAGAAAAGGAGGGGAGAUCAUUUCAAGGGAUAGAAUAUGGUGCCGAAAUUAUAGCUACACCGGAAAGUACAAAAUAACUCCAAAUGAUAAAGAUUUGAAAGGAAAGCCUCUGCCAUUCA